ACAGGUUGACCUCGGAUCAGGUAGGAAUACCCGCUC
rnacentral:rRNA from 1 species